AAGUCGUAACAAGGUUUCCGUAGGUGAACCUGCGGAAGGAUCAUUACCAACUGGCGUAAGCCAACCAACCUGUGUGCACUUUCCUGCCCGGUAGUGGGAGCCUGGGAACGACGCUGGUCUACCCCGGGUGAACACUGCCCAAUGUUGACCUUUUAUUGUAUUAUCAUUCCAUUAUUCGUCUGUGCUGCGCACUUGUGCAUGGCCAGAUAACUGAACAACUUUUAGCAAUGGAUCUCUAGGCUCUCAUAGCGAUGAAGAACGCAGC
rnacentral:misc_RNA from 1 species